GCCGGGGUGGCGGAACUGGCAGACGCGCAUGGCUUAGAACCAUGUGGGGAAUCCCGUGAGAGUUCGAGUCUCUCCCUCGGCACCA
rnacentral:tRNA from 1 species